rfam:Triticum aestivum genome assembly, contig: Triticum_aestivum_CS42_TGACv1_scaffold_473905_6AL
UUUCUACUCCCUCCGUUCCAAAUUACUCGCCACAGAAAUGGAUGUAUCUAGAACUAAAAUACAUCUAGAUACAUCCAUACCCGCAACAAGUAAUUCAGAACGGAGGGAGUACUAG